rnacentral:rRNA from 1 species
AAUGAACGUUGGCGGCGUGGAUUAGGCAUGCAAGUCGUGCGGAAAGGCUCCUUCGGGAGUACUCGAGCGGCGAAAGGGAGAGUAACGCGUGGAUAUCUACCCCCUGGACUGGGAUAGCGGCGGGAAACUGCCGGUAAUACCAGAUAAUGUCUGCGGACCAAAGGUGUGAUUCCGCCGGGGGAUGAGUCCGCGUCCUAUUAGCUAGUUGGUGGGGUAAUGGCCCACCAAGGCAAAGAUGGGUACCGGGUGUGAGAGCAUGGCCCGGCUCACUGGGACUGAGACACUGCCCAGACACCUACGGGUGGCUGCAGUCGAGGAUCUUCGGCAAUGGGCGCAAGCCUGACCGAGCGACGCCGCGUGCGGGAUGAAGGCCUUCGGGUUGUAAACCGCUGUCAGAGGGGAGGAAAUGCAUGAGGGUUCUCUCUCAUGUUUGACCUAUCCUCAGAGGAAGUACGGGCUAAGUUCGUGCCAGCAGCCGCAGUAAUAC